rnacentral:rRNA from 1 species
CUUUACUGUAGCCUGGAAUUGGGUUCGGGCUUUAACUGCGCAGGAUAGGUGGGAGACUAUGAAGUAGUCCUUGUGGGGGCUAUGGAGUCAACGGUGAGAUACCACUCUGUUAAAGCUAGAAUUCUAACCGAUAGCCGUUAUCCGGCAUCGGAACAGUUUCAGGUGGGCAGUUUGACUGGGGCGGUCGCCUCCUAAAUGAUAACGGAGGCGCGCAAAGGUUCUCUCAGGCUGGUUGGAAAUCAGCCGUAGAGUGUAAAAGCAUAAGAGAGCUUGACUGUGAGACUGACAAGUCGAGCAGGGACGAAAGUCGGCUUUAGUGAUCCGACGGCACUGAGUGGAAGGGCCGUCGCUCAACGGAUAAAAGUUA